CAUCUAUUUCCUCCGUCCAACAAAGGAUUUCUCAACUUUGACUAAAUUUGAAUGCAUCUAUACACUAAGUCAUGUCUAGAUACAUCCAAAUUUUGACGAACUUGAGAGAUCUUUUAUUGAACGAAGGGAGUAUAAG
rfam:Brachypodium distachyon strain Bd21 chromosome 3, whole genome shotgun sequence.